UACGGAGGGUGCAAGCGUUGUUCGGAUUUACUGGCGUAAAGCGCGCGCAGGUGGGUGAACAAGUCGGAAGUGAAAUCCCAGGGCUCAACCCUGGGGCUGCUCCCGAAACUGUACGCCUAGGGACUGGUAGAGGCUGGUAGAAUUCCCGGUGUAGCGGUGGAAUGCGUAGAGAUCGGGAAGAAUACCCGUGGCGAAGGCGGCUCUCUGGGACGGUACUGACGCUGAGACGCGAAAGCGUGGGGAGCGAACGAGG
rnacentral:rRNA from 1 species